CUGAUUAGGACGCAUGGGUCGACGUUCGUGCAACGAGCCCUUUCCCUAUGCUGCAACAGAGCAGCAGGUGGAUGCGCCAAUAUCAG
ncrna:unclassified sequences L4-Archaeoglobi ribosomal protein leader